UACGUAGGGGGCGAGCGUUGUCCGGAAUUAUUGGGCGUAAAGAGCUCGUAGGCGGUUUGUCGCGUCUGCUGUGAAAACUCGGGGCUUAACCCCGGGCCUGCAGUGGGUACGGGCAGACUAGAGUGCGGUAGGGGAGACUGGAAUUCCUGGUGUAGCGGUGAAAUGCGCAGAUAUCAGGAGGAACACCGGUGGCGAGGCGGGUCUCUGGGCCGUAACUGACGCUGAGGAGCGAAAGCGUGGGGAGCGAACAGG
rnacentral:rRNA from 1 species